rnacentral:rRNA from 1 species
GACGAACGCUGGCGGCGUGCUUAACACAUGCAAGUCGAACGGAAAGGCCCUUCUUUUUUCUCGUGCUCCGAUCGCGAGCGUGAGACUAACGUGAGCGUCCCCUCACCUUGACUUAAGGCUGGCUAACUGGAACUAAUACUAAUUCGGGAUAGGAGCUCCUUCGGCUGUGUUGGAGUGGUAUUGUUUUGGCGGUGGGGGAUGGGGUCGCGGCUUAUCAGCUUGUUGGUGGGGUAGUGGCCUACCAAGACGUCGACGGGUAGCCGGCCUGAGAGGGUGACCGGCCACACUGGGACUGAGAUACGGCCCAGACUCCUACGGGAGGCAGCAGUGGGGAAUAUUGCACAAUGGGCGGAAGCCUGAUGCAGCAACGCCGCGUGAGGGAUGACGGCCUUCGGGUUGUAAACCGCUUUCGCCUGGGACGAAGCGUGAGUGACGGUACCUGGUAAAGAAGCACCGGCUAACUACGUG